rnacentral:lncRNA from 1 species
GAGACUCUGCGGGUCCAUACCACGCGUCACGACAAAUCGAAACGGCUGCAAUGCGAGCACUGCAACAGGAUGUUCAUAUAUCCGUCGAUGCUGCACCAGCAUAUACAGGCUGUUCACGUGCGGAAGGACUACUACUGUGUGGAAUGCGAUAUCAAAUUUAAAUCCAGGGAUAAUUUAAGGCUGCACUUCAAGAAAGCGAAAAGACAUCGAGAUGCGUCCUCUUACCAGUGAGUAUGGCCAAUUAUUACUUUUUUU